rnacentral:lncRNA from 1 species
AUACCACCCAGUGUCUCAAUUGACUUCCUGUUGCCUGAAAGAUGUAGGACUCUCAGCUACUACUCCGUACCAUGCCUGCCUGCCUGCACACCACCAUACUCCCUGCCAUGAUGACAAUGGACUGAACCUCUGAAACUGUACCUGACUGGACUUCAGCUGGCCAUGAAUUUGUGAUUGUGCCUUAGCCUCCUGAGAAGCUGGAAUUACAAGCCUGUGCCAUCAGGCCUUUGAUUUAUUUAUGUUGGGUGAAAGUUACUUUCUGGAAUAAAUCUCAUUUGCCUGUUGUAUUUUUGUCUUCUAUUUUGAUGUGAUGAUCUGCUAGUAUUUUGUGUAAGAAUUCUGUAUCUGUUUCUA